UUUCUUGCAUUUUUUGUCAUAUAUAUUAAAAUCGAAUUGCUACUUAAUGUAGAGAUAAUGCUGAAUACCGUUCGGAAUAGGUUUAUGGGACUGGGGGGCGGUACCCCACAUCUCCACCAAUAAAAAGCUAUGGGGAUGACAUAUGUUUCGACCUGAACAAUAAAAGUGCGGCGUGCAUUUGGGGUUGCUUCCAUAAAAGGCUGAUUAAAACGAGUGCUAAUGAUAACACUCAAUAUGCGAUGGCUGCCUAAUAAGCAAUAGUCAUCCGGGGGCCCGCCGGAGCCUUGCAACAGAAUCCGGCACU
rnacentral:tmRNA from 1 species